UACGUAGGGGGCAAGCGUUGUUCGGAAUUACUGGGCGUAAAGCGCACGUAGGCGGCUUUGUAAGUUAGAGGUGAAAGCCCGGGGCUCAACCCGGGAACUGCGUCCGAUACUGGAUGGCUUGAAUCCGGGAGAGGGAUGUGGAAUUCCAGGUGUAGCGGUGAAAUGCGUAGAUAUCUGGAGGAACACCGGUGGCGAAGGCGGCAUCCUGGACCGGUAUUGACGCUGAGGCGCGAAAGCCAGGGGAGCAAACGGG
rnacentral:rRNA from 1 species